rnacentral:rRNA from 1 species
UGAGGAACAUGACUUUCGGCGGGGGAUAGCCGGCCCAACGGCCGGGUAAUACCGCGUACGACCACAUGGGGACAUCCCUGGGUGGUGAAAGCAGCAAUGCGCCGAUGGAGUGCCUCGCGGCCUAUCAGCUAGUUGGUGAGGUAACGGCUCACCAAGGCGACGACGGGUAGCUGGUCUGAGAGGAUGGCCAGCCACAUUGGGACUGAGACACGGCCCAGACUCCGUAGGGAGG